CUGUGCUUUGCGUCCAAGUUGAUACCUGUGGAGAGAAAAGGAGAGAGAGUGAAUAACACGAGGAGGAAUAGAGCGAACCCUGUACUUACAGUACGCUGUGUUCAGCCCAGAGGUGAGAGCCAUUCAAAGCAAACUAACUGUGCUAUUGUGCCCAAGUUGAUACCUGUGGAGAGAAAAGGAGAGAGAGUGAAUAACACGAGGAGGAAUAGAGCGAACCCUGUACUUACAGUACGCUGUGUUCAGCCCAGAGGUGAGAGCCAUUCAAAGCAAACUAACUGUGCUAUUGUGCCCAAGUUGAUACCUGUGGAGAGAAAAGGAGAGAGAGUGAAUAACACGAGGAGGAAUAGAGCGAACCCUGUACUUACAGUACGCUGUGUUCAGCCCAGAGGUGAGAGCCAUUCAAAGCAAACUAACUGUGCUAUUGUGCCCAAGUUGAUACCUGUGGAGAGAAAAGGAGAGAGAGUGAAUAACACGAGGAGGAAUAGAGCGAACCCUGUACUUACAGUACGCUGUGUUCAGCCCAGAGGUGAGAGCCAUUCAAAGCAAACUAACUGUGCUAUUGUGCCCAAGUUGAUACCUGUGGAGAGAAAAGGAGAGAGAGUGAAUAACACGAGGAGGAAUAGAGCGAACCCUGUACUUACAGUACGCUGUGUUCAGCCCAGAGGUGAGAGCCAUUCAAAGCAAACUAACUGUGCUAUUGUGCCCAAGUUGAUACCUGUGGAGAGAAAAGGAGAGAGAGUGAAUAACACGAGGAGGAAUAGAGCGAACCCUGUACUUACAGUACGCUGUGUUCAGCCCAGAGGUGAGAGCCAUUCAAAGCAAACUAACUGUGCUAUUGUGCCCAAGUUGAUACCUGUGGAGAGAAAAGGAGAGAGAGUGAAUAACACGAGGAGGAAUAGAGCGAACCCUGUACUUACAGUACGCUGUGUUCAGCCCAGAGGUGAGAGCCAUUCAAAGCAAACUAACUGUGCUAUUGUGCCCAAGUUGAUACCUGUGGAGAGAAAAGGAGAGAGAGUGAAUAACACGAGGAGGAAUAGAGCGAACCCUGUACUUACAGUACGCUGUGUUCAGCCCAGAGGUGAGAGCCAUUCAAAGCAAACUAACUGUGCUAUUGUGCCCAAGUUGAUACCUGUGGAGAGAAAAGGAGAGAGAGUGAAUAACACGAGGAGGAAUAGAGCGAACCCUGUACUUACAGUACGCUGUGUUCAGCCCAGAGGUGAGAGCCAUUCAAAGCAAACUAACUGUGCUAUUGUGCCCAAGUUGAUACCUGUGGAGAGAAAAGGAGAGAGAGUGAAUAACACGAGGAGGAAUAGAGCGAACCCUGUACUUACAGUACGCUGUGUUCAGCCCAGAGGUGAGAGCCAUUCAAAGCAAACUAACUGUGCUAUUGUGCCCAAGUUGAUACCUGUGGAGAGAAAAGGAGAGAGAGUGAAUAACACGAGGAGGAAUAGAGCGAACCCUGUACUUACAGUACGCUGUGUUCAGCCCAGAGGUGAGAGCCAUUCAAAGCAAACUAACUGUGCUAUUGUGCCCAAGUUGAUACCUGUGGAGAGAAAAGGAGAGAGAGUGAAUAACACGAGGAGGAAUAGAGCGAACCCUGUACUUACAGUACGCUGUGUUCAGCCCAGAGGUGAGAGCCAUUCAAAGCAAACUAACUGUGCUAUUGUGCCCAAGUUGAUACCUGUGGAGAGAAAAGGAGAGAGAGUGAAUAACACGAGGAGGAAUAGAGCGAACCCUGUACUUACAGUACGCUGUGUUCAGCCCAGAGGUGAGAGCCAUUCAAAGCAAACUAACUGUGCUAUUGUGCCCAAGUUGAUACCUGUGGAGAGAAAAGGAGAGAGAGUGAAUAACACGAGGAGGAAUAGAGCGAACCCUGUACUUACAGUACGCUGUGUUCAGCCCAGAGGUGAGAGCCAUUCAAAGCAAACUAACUGUGCUAUUGUGCCCAAGUUGAUACCUGUGGAGAGAAAAGGAGAGAGAGUGAAUAACACGAGGAGGAAUAGAGCGAACCCUGUACUUACAGUACGCUGUGUUCAGCCCAGAGGUGAGAGCCAUUCAAAGCAAACUAACUGUGCUAUUGUGCCCAAGUUGAUACCUGUGGAGAGAAAAGGAGAGAGAGUGAAUAACACGAGGAGGAAUAGAGCGAACCCUGUACUUACAGUACGCUGUGUUCAGCCCAGAGGUGAGAGCCAUUCAAAGCAAACUAACUGUGCUAUUGUGCCCAAGUUGAUACCUGUGGAGAGAAAAGGAGAGAGAGUGAAUAACACGAGGAGGAAUAGAGCGAACCCUGUACUUACAGUACGCUGUGUUCAGCCCAGAGGUGAGAGCCAUUCAAAGCAAACUAACUGUGCUAUUGUGCCCAAGUUGAUACCUGUGGAGAGAAAAGGAGAGAGAGUGAAUAACACGAGGAGGAAUAGAGCGAACCCUGUACUUACAGUACGCUGUGUUCAGCCCAGAGGUGAGAGCCAUUCAAAGCAAACUAACUGUGCUAUUGUGCCCAAGUUGAUACCUGUGGAGAGAAAAGGAGAGAGAGUGAAUAACACGAGGAGGAAUAGAGCGAACCCUGUACUUACAGUACGCUGUGUUCAGCCCAGAGGUGAGAGCCAUUCAAAGCAAACUAACUGUGCUAUUGUGCCCAAGUUGAUACCUGUGGAGAGAAAAGGAGAGAGAGUGAAUAACACGAGGAGGAAUAGAGCGAACCCUGUACUUACAGUACGCUGUGUUCAGCCCAGAGGUGAGAGCCAUUCAAAGCAAACUAACUGUGCUAUUGUGCCCAAGUUGAUACCUGUGGAGAGAAAAGGAGAGAGAGUGAAUAACACGAGGAGGAAUAGAGCGAACCCUGUACUUACAGUACGCUGUGUUCAGCCCAGAGGUGAGAGCCAUUCAAAGCAAACUAACUGUGCUAUUGUGCCCAAGUUGAUACCUGUGGAGAGAAAAGGAGAGAGAGUGAAUAACACGAGGAGGAAUAGAGCGAACCCUGUACUUACAGUACGCUGUGUUCAGCCCAGAGGUGAGAGCCAUUCAAAGCAAACUAACUGUGCUAUUGUGCCCAAGUUGAUACCUGUGGAGAGAAAAGGAGAGAGAGUGAAUAACACGAGGAGGAAUAGAGCGAACCCUGUACUUACAGUACGCUGUGUUCAGCCCAGAGGUGAGAGCCAUUCAAAGCAAACUAACUGUGCUAUUGUGCCCAAGUUGAUACCUGUGGAGAGAAAAGGAGAGAGAGUGAAUAACACGAGGAGGAAUAGAGCGAACCCUGUACUUACAGUACGCUGUGUUCAGCCCAGAGGUGAGAGCCAUUCAAAGCAAACUAACUGUGCUAUUGUGCCCAAGUUGAUACCUGUGGAGAGAAAAGGAGAGAGAGUGAAUAACACGAGGAGGAAUAGAGCGAACCCUGUACUUACAGUACGCUGUGUUCAGCCCAGAGGUGAGAGCCAUUCAAAGCAAACUAACUGUGCUAUUGUGCCCAAGUUGAUACCUGUGGAGAGAAAAGGAGAGAGAGUGAAUAACACGAGGAGGAAUAGAGCGAACCCUGUACUUACAGUACGCUGUGUUCAGCCCAGAGGUGAGAGCCAUUCAAAGCAAACUAACUGUGCUAUUGUGCCCAAGUUGAUACCUGUGGAGAGAAAAGGAGAGAGAGUGAAUAACACGAGGAGGAAUAGAGCGAACCCUGUACUUACAGUACGCUGUGUUCAGCCCAGAGGUGAGAGCCAUUCAAAGCAAACUAACUGUGCUAUUGUGCCCAAGUUGAUACCUGUGGAGAGAAAAGGAGAGAGAGUGAAUAACACGAGGAGGAAUAGAGCGAACCCUGUACUUACAGUACGCUGUGUUCAGCCCAGAGGUGAGAGCCAUUCAAAGCAAACUAACUGUGCUAUUGUGCCCAAGUUGAUACCUGUGGAGAGAAAAGGAGAGAGAGUGAAUAACACGAGGAGGAAUAGAGCGAACCCUGUACUUACAGUACGCUGUGUUCAGCCCAGAGGUGAGAGCCAUUCAAAGCAAACUAACUGUGCUAUUGUGCCCAAGUUGAUACCUGUGGAGAGAAAAGGAGAGAGAGUGAAUAACACGAGGAGGAAUAGAGCGAACCCUGUACUUACAGUACGCUGUGUUCAGCCCAGAGGUGAGAGCCAUUCAAAGCAAACUAACUGUGCUAUUGUGCCCAAGUUGAUACCUGUGGAGAGAAAAGGAGAGAGAGUGAAUAACACGAGGAGGAAUAGAGCGAACCCUGUACUUACAGUACGCUGUGUUCAGCCCAGAGGUGAGAGCCAUUCAAAGCAAACUAACUGUGCUAUUGUGCCCAAGUUGAUACCUGUGGAGAGAAAAGGAGAGAGAGUGAAUAACACGAGGAGGAAUAGAGCGAACCCUGUACUUACAGUACGCUGUGUUCAGCCCAGAGGUGAGAGCCAUUCAAAGCAAACUAACUGUGCUAUUGUGCCCAAGUUGAUACCUGUGGAGAGAAAAGGAGAGAGAGUGAAUAACACGAGGAGGAAUAGAGCGAACCCUGUACUUACAGUACGCUGUGUUCAGCCCAGAGGUGAGAGCCAUUCAAAGCAAACUAACUGUGCUAUUGUGCCCAAGUUGAUACCUGUGGAGAGAAAAGGAGAGAGAGUGAAUAACACGAGGAGGAAUAGAGCGAACCCUGUACUUACAGUACGCUGUGUUCAGCCCAGAGGUGAGAGCCAUUCAAAGCAAACUAACUGUGCUAUUGUGCCCAAGUUGAUACCUGUGGAGAGAAAAGGAGAGAGAGUGAAUAACACGAGGAGGAAUAGAGCGAACCCUGUACUUACAGUACGCUGUGUUCAGCCCAGAGGUGAGAGCCAUUCAAAGCAAACUAACUGUGCUAUUGUGCCCAAGUUGAUACCUGUGGAGAGAAAAGGAGAGAGAGUGGGUAACACGAGGAGAGACCGAGGAAACCUGUACUUACGCCGCUGCCUGUGGAGAAAGAGAAAGCGACCGUUGCCUGUGGAGGAAGAGAAAGAGAGUGAGCACCCCGAGAACGAACUGUGUGAACCAGUACUUACCGUGAGCUGUAUUCAGCGAAGAGGAGGAAGAAGGAGGGCGCUACGGAUACCUAAGACUCAGGCCGGGGCCCGAGUCCCACGCCCCGGAUCCCCGUGGCCCCCUUGCUCCCUGACCUCUUCCCGGCCAUAGCCCAUCUGGAGGGCCGAGUCAGAGUUUAGUUUUAAUUGCCCUUUCCCUAUUCCCCAAGCUAUUUUUAAAUAUUUAAAUAAAGAUUGUUUUAUCACUUACUUGUUCUCGUGU
ensembl:lncRNA